rnacentral:rRNA from 1 species
UACGGAGGCGGCUAGCGUUGUUCGGAAUUACUGGGCGUAAAGCGCACGCAGGCGGUCUCUUAAGUUUGUAGGGACAGGGCACAGCUCAACUGUGUCAGGCUUACGAAAACUGGGAGACUUGAGGGCUUCAGAGGGAUGGGGAAUGCCGGGUGUAGUGGUGAAAUGCGUAGAGAUCCGGCGGAACACCGGUGGUGAAGACGG